GACGAACGCUGGCGGCGUGCUUAACACGUGCAAGUCGAACGGAAAGGCCCUGCUUUUGUGGGGUGCUCGAGUGGCGAACGGGUGAGUAACACGUGAGUAACCUGCCCUUGACUUUGGGAUAACUUCAGGAAACUGGGGCUAAUACCGGAUAGGAGCUCCUGCUGCAUGGUGGGGGUUGGAAAGUUUCGGCGGUUGGGGAUGGACUCGCGGCUUAUCAGCUUGUUGGUGGGGUAGUGGCUUACCAAGGCUUUGACGGGUAGCCGGCCUGAGAGGGUGACCGGCCACAUUGGGACUGAGAUACGGCCCAGACUCCUACGGGAGGCAGCAGUGGGGAAUAUUGCACAAUGGGCGGAAGCCUGAUGCAGCAACGCCGCGUGCGGGAUGACGGCCUUCGGGUUGUAAACCGCUUUCGCCUGUGACGAAGCGUGAGUGACGGUAAUGGGUAAAGAAGCACCGGCUAACUACG
rnacentral:rRNA from 1 species